CGGGUGAGUAACACGUGAGUAACCUGCCCCCUUCUUUGGGAUAACGCCCGGAAACGGGUGCUAAUACUGGAUAUUCACUGGCCUUCGCAUGGGGGUUGGUGGAAAGGUUUUUUCUGGUGGGGGAUGGGCUCGCGGCCUAUCAGCUUGUUGGUGGGGUGAUGGCCUACCAAGGCUUUGACGGGUAGCCGGCCUGAGAGGGUGACCGGUCACAUUGGGACUGAGAUACGGCCCAGACUCCUACGGGAGGCAGCAGUGGGGAAUAUUGCACAAUGAGCGAAAGCCUGAUGCAGCGACGCCGCGUGAGGGAUGACGGCCUUCGGGUUGUAAACCUCUUUCGCUCAUGGUCAAGCCGCAGCUUUGGGUUGUGGUGAGGGUAGUGGGUAAAGAAGCGCCGGCUAACUACGUGCCAGCAGCCGCGGUAAUACGUAGGGCGCGAGCGUUGUCCGGAAUUAUUGGGCGUAAAGGGCUUGUAGGCGGUUGGUCGCGUCUGCCGUGAAAUCCUCUGGCUUAACUGGGGGCGUGCGGUGGGUACGGGCUGACUUGAGUGCGGUAGGGGAGACUGGAACUCCUGGUGUAGCGGUGGAAUGCGCAGAUAUCAGGAAGAA
rnacentral:rRNA from 1 species